GUGAAUGGCGCCCCCUAGAGUUCUGCAGUGAACAUCCUGCGUACCAGUUCUUGGCACAGAGUCCGUUUCUGUGUUUGCGCAUCUGUGUCUGUCCAGCAGAACCCUGACCACACGCCCCUUCUCGCCUGCUUAUCCCACCUUGCUUUGUCAUAUAAGGGCCACUGGCAAAGGCCAGACUUAAUAGGGUAGCGGAAUUAGAAAGGGGAAAACGUGUUGGAAGAGACUAUUUUUCCACUACUCAGAUAAUAGGAAUCAGUGUCCAUAUAGUGAAUUUUUUAAAUAGACAAGCAUGUUAGCAUCUAUCCCGAGCCCUUCAUUUGGCAGACGAAACCCAGAGGAGGCAGGCUAGAAGAGUCUCUCUGUCCUGGAAAUGCUACAGAAGACAUGGGAGAGGAGCAGUAGUGGCAAAGACAGAGGCUGAUCCAAGUGAUGCUUUGUUUCGGUGCCUCACUUGUCUUAAUCUUGGUUCGCAGGAUAUCGAACAUCAAGGAAAGAAUAAAAAGAUAUCUUCCAUUUUCUCUAUUA